rnacentral:rRNA from 1 species
CUACGGGGCGCUCCAGUGGGGAAUAUUGGACAAUGGGGGAAACCCUGAUCCAGCAAUGCCGCGUGUGUGAAGAAGGCCUGCGGGUUGUAAAGCACUUUCGGUUGGGAGGACUGCUUCUAGCACUAAUAUUGUUGGAAGUUGACGUUACCUUCAGAAGAAGCACCGGCUAACUCCGUGCCAGCAGCCGCGGUAGAGUACGGAGGGUGCAAGCGUUAAUCGGAAUUACUGGGCGUAAAGCGCGCGUAGGCGGCUAGAUCAGUCGGGUGUGAAAGCCCCGGGCUUAACCUGGGAACUGCAUCCGAUACUGUCUAGCUUGAGUACAGGAGAGGAGAGUGGAAUUCCACAUGUAGCGGUGAAAUGCGUAGAUAUGUGGAGGAACACCAAUGGCGAAGGCAGCUCUCUGGCCUGAUACUGACGCUGAGGUGCGAAAGCGUGGGGAGCAAACAGGAUUAGAUACCCUUGUAGUC